GCCGGUGUGGCUCAGUGGUUGAGUGUCAGCCCAUGAACCAAGACGUCCCUGGUUCGAUUCCAGGUACAUGCC
rnacentral:tRNA from 1 species